CGAACGCUGGCGGUAGGCCUAACACAUGCAAGUCGAGCGAUCUCUUCGGAGAUAGCGGCGGACGGGUGAGUAACGCGUGGGCAACCUGCCCUGUAUAAAGGGAUAGCCACUGGAAACGGUGAUUAAUACCUUAUAAGACUACAGAAACACAUGUUUCAGUAGCCAAAGCUCCGGCGAUACAGGAUGGGCCCGCGUUUGAUUAGCUAGUUGGUGAGGUAAUGGCUCACCAAGGCGACGAUCAAUAGCCGACCUGAGAGGGUGAUC
rnacentral:rRNA from 1 species